rnacentral:lncRNA from 1 species
GCAAAAGAUUCUGCCCCGUGUGUGGCUGAGCACGUGAGGAUGGAUAGGCGAAUUUAGACUCACAAGGGCGCUUGGGUACAGGGCUUGGGCACACACGUGCUGCAGCUCCGCAGAAGGGUAGCUCUGCAGGGUGCUGACCGUUUCCCGGGCUUGGCCCAGCAUCAGGGCUGGAGAGGGCCCAGCCAGCAAACUUAUGUGUCCUCCUGCAGAUUUUCAAGCACAUCCUGCAGCGGGAGUUCCCAGCACCGUGCCAGGCCCUUUCGCGCAAGUUUACCGAGUGGUGUUACGGGCCUGUCCGGGUAUCACUCUAUGACUUGGCCUCCGUGGACAGCUGCGAGGAGAACUCGGUGCUGGAGAUCAUCGCCUUUCACUGCAGGAGCCCACACCGACACCGCAUGGUAGUUUUGGAGCCACUGAACAAACUGCUGCAGGCAAAAUGGGAUCAGUUCAUCUCCAAGUUCUUCUUCAACUUCCUGUGCUAUCUGAUCUACGUGCUCAUCUUCACUGCUGUUGCCUACCACCAGCCAGCCCUGGAGCAGCAGGCCUCCUCAUGGCUGGACUCAUCGCCCAGAACCUCCAUGCUCCUGGUGGGCCACAUCUUGAUCCUCCUUGGGGGGAUCUACCUCCUCCUUGUCCAGCUCUGGUACUUCUGGCGUCGCCGCCUGUUCAUCUGGAUCUCAUUUGUGGACAGCUACUUUGAAAUCCUCUUCCUGGCCCAGGCCCUGCUCACGGUGCUAUCCCAGGUCUUGUGUUUCAUGUCCAUUGAGUGGUACCUGCCCCUGCUUGUGUCCUCGCUGGUGCUGGGCUGGCUGAACCUGCUGUACUAUACACGCGGCUUCCAGUACACGGGCAUCUACAGUGUCAUGAUCCAGAAGGUGAGAGAUGGGGCAGGGCUGGACACCACAGCACAGAGGGACUCCCUUUGGCCCCAGGAAGCAGGGUUCUUCCUCCACAGCGAUCCUGAGCAGAGGAGAGCACGAGCAUGUCUGCCUGAGUGUCACUCACCCAGAUGCUCGCCAAAUGUUCAUGCAAGUGCUGUAUGGGCAUGCAGGGACACAGAGACACACGCACAUGUGUGUUUGCAGGCACCCACACGGGAGCACAUGCACCCUUCUUCACAAAGAAGCGGAGGAUACGCUCAUAUGUAUGUCUGUGCCUGGGAACAGGAGGGCAUCUGCAGCCAUCCAUUUAUUCCAUAAAUGUUUAAGGAGCACCCAGUGCAGGCCAGGCCUUGAUGUAAAUGUUGGUAAUAACAAGAGUGAGCAAAAGAGACAAGUCUUUGCGCUCCUGGGGCUGACGGUCCAGUGGGGAAAAACACUAAGGAAACCACUGCCUACACGGCCAACUGUUAAACUGUAUAAAGGAACAUCAUGGGACAAUAUGAUGGAAGACAGAUGGGGUGGAGGGUGCUUUAGAGAGCUGAUGUCUAAGUGGAGAUCUGAUAGAACAAUUGGUCACAGUAGAGUCAAGGUCAAGGAGGAAGCAUCCUUCACAGAGAUAAUAACAAAGGUGAAGAUGGUGAGUCAGGACGAGGUGCAUGCAUGAGGCAGAGGCAAGAGGCCAGGCAGAUGGGGAGAGAGGCAAAGUGGAGAAGAAGUUGGCAAGGCAGGUCAGGAUCAGGGGCUUUGCACAGUGAGAAGUCAAGAGCCUAGCCAAGAAAGGCUGAGAUGGAAUGAUAGCCAUUUGUUUUAGGCCAGCCUGGGCACCAUUUUGAGUUCAAGGCUAGACUGAACUACAUGAGACCUUAUCUAAAGAUAAAUAAAUAAAUAAAUGAAUAAAAAUAAAUUAAAAAAGAAAAGCCUAAUAUAAACAUUUACCAAGCUUGUCGUGGUUGCACACACCUGUAAUCCCUGCACUGUGCAGGCUGAGAUCUGUGGCCAGCUUGAGCUGCACAGUUCAGGUAUAGCCUGAAUUGCAAAGGAGACCGUGCCUCAAAAAAGAAAGAAACAAAAAAAAUUUACCAUUUUGCUGGGCAUUUAGGUCCAUGGUGAUCCACCUGUCUGGCAAGGGCUAAGUCCUGAGUUUGAUUUUCAGAAUUGGAAAAAAAAAGCAAAAGCAACAUGUACCAUUUUAAGUGUACGGGUAAGUGGUAUUAAACACAUUCCCAUUGUUAUGCAGCCGUCAUCAUCAUUUCCAGAACGGUUUCAUCUUUUUUUUGGUAGUCGUGACGGAACUCGGGUCUUUAUGCUUUUGAGGCAUGCGGUCAAAGCACUGAGCUAAAUCCCUGGCCUGGAACUAUUUCAUCUUAGUAAAGAAACUUGAUGCCCAUUAAACAACACAUUUUUCGCCUUCUCUCAGCCUGGGAACCAUCAUUUCCUUUCUGUCUGUAUGAUUUACUGGUUCUAGAAACUUCAUGUAAAUGGAAUCACAUAGUACUUGUCCAGUGAGUAGCUUAUUUCACUUACCACAGUGUCUUCAAGGUUCAUCCAUACUGCAGCAUGUGACAGAUUUACUUCGUCUUA